CAUGCUGCAGCACCUCAAUAUCUUUCUUGUAAUGAGGGGCCCAAAACUUAACACAGUACUCAAGGUGCAGCCUCACCAGUGCCGAGUACAGGGGAACAAUCACUUCCCUGCUCCUGCUGGCCACGCUAUUUCUAAUACAGGCCAGGAUGCCAUUGGCCUUCUUGGCCACCUGGGCACACUGCUGACUCAUAUUCAGCUGGCUGUUGACCAACACCCCCAGGUCCUUUUCUGCCAGGCAGCUUUCCAGCCACUCUUCCCCAAGCCUGUAGCAUUGUAUGGGAUUGUUGUGAACGAAGCGCAGGACCUGGCACUUAGCCUUGUUGAACCUCAUACA